GGCAGCAGUGAGGAAUAUUGGUCAAUGGACGUAAGUCUGAACCAGCCAAGUAGCGUGCAGGAUUGACGGCCCUAUGGGUUGUAAACUGCUUUUGUUGGGGAGUAAAGUGAGGCACGCGUGCCUUUUUGCAUUUACCCUUCGAAUAAGGACCGGCUAAUUCCGUGCCAGCAGCCGCGGUAAUACGGAAGGUCCAGGCGUUAUCCGGAUUUAUUGGGUUUAAAGGGAGUGUAGGCGGUCUGUUAAGCGUGUUGUGAUAUUUAGGUGCUCAACAUUUAACUUGCAGCGCGAACUGGCGGACUUGAGUGCACGCAACGUAUGCGGAAUUCAUGGUGUAGCGGUGAAAUGCUUAGAUAUCAUGACGAACUCCGAUUGCGAAGGCAGCGUACGGGAGUGUUACUGACGCUUAAGCUCGAAGGUGCGGGUAUCGAACAGGAUUAGAUGCCCUGGUAGUCCGCACGGUAAACGAUGGAUGCCCGCUGUUAGCGCCUGGCGUUAGCGGCUAAGAGAAAGCAUUAAACAUCCCACCUGGGGAGUACGCCGGCAACGGUGAAACUCAAAUGAAUUGACGG
rnacentral:rRNA from 2 species